UUCGGUCUCCUUUAUGCGCCGCCCCUUCGAAGCCGACAUCAUCAACUCCUGCUUAUCUUCAUUUUUUUACCUUCAUUUCACCCUCUCUUCCACGUGCUGCUCCAUUAAAAUUUCCCCUCACACCGUGAGCUUCAAGCUGUUGUGAAGACCGAAGCCACUCAUCCCCUUCUCCACUCACACACGCCCACCACCACUCACUGAUUUCCCUUUUGCAAGCCACGCAUCAACUUCGGUCAACUAAAGAACUCCUUUCGCCCAUUGUAGACUCUCCUGCGAGCGGCCCACUCGUCCAAGCAUCCACUUCCUUCGGUUGAAGCCCAGCAAAAGCCACGCCGUUGAUUUCUGCAUAUGCUGCCUUCACGCCCGCGACCCAGCUUUCAUCUUCACGAAGCCUCUCUGUUUUGUUGACCGCGAAACCCCACAUCUCGCCGUUCCCUUCCACCGAAGCAUCACCGGGUCUUCUCCUCAUAGGGCCACGAAGACAACUUGCUUUGAUUGUUGACCGCCAGCUCGCCCGUGGGGUCUCCUCGAAGCCGAGCUUUGUUGCCGCGGCCCGCUCGUCCAGCUUUCGUAAUUCAAGAUCAAGCUCAGCUUUGCUGAGCUGUUUUGGACCUGUUUUGGCCGGUCCAAGCUUCUGUCGGCCUCGCCGUGAGUUCAAGUUCUAGCCGCCGUCGCGCCGCCGUCGCCGUGAGCCGAUUUUCGUGCUAACCGGUGAGUUGCGUUCUAAUCCUUUAUUAGUGGGCUAAUGACACUUGGAGGUGUGUUAGUUAGCUAGUUGGUGGAUUAGUUAUGUUAAUUAGGCUUAUGAUGGCUUAGUUAGAUUAAGUAUAUAGUUAGUAGUUAGUUAGUUUAUUUAGUUUAGUUAAAUGGAUGAGUUAGGAAUUAGUUAGUUUAUUUAGUUAGUGUACUUAGAUUAAAUUAUAUAGGAUGGUUAGAUUUAAUUGUUAGUUAGAUAAUUUAGUUUAGUUAGUUUAGGUUAACUUAAUUAAAUGCUUUAAAUUUAUUUAUUUGUAAUUUAUUUAAUUUUCGGUAAUUUAUUUAAUUAUUAAUUAUUUUCUAGAAAUUAGACCGGGGUAGCCGGUGACCGGAAUUUGUACUGAUUGCAAUGGUGCGUUCAAUUUAUGCAAUUGGAUGUUAAUUUGUGCAAAUUGAGUGCUGAUUGGAAUUUUGAAUAUUUAAUUCCAAAAUUUGUGAAAUUUGAUAUUUAUUCCAAAAAUUCUGGAUGUCGAAUUUUAAUACCAAAAAUGGUUUUAUAUACUAUAUAAAAUAGUAGGAUUUUAAAUUGGAGAUUAUGAAUUUUUUGGGUUCAAUCUGAUCGUGUACCUACACAUGACUAUAUUACCGCGUAUUUCUAAUUCGAAGAAAAUAGGCCAGGUUCACUAUUUUAAUUGAGAUAUUUGAGUGCAUUGCACAAAGUCCUGGGCCGAGAUUGAUUAGUCGUGUGUUGGUUAAGAGAAACCGUCUUGGGCUGUUAAGCGGGACGUUACUCAUUCAUUGGGACUCGGGUCGCAGUAGAUUCUAGACCUACGCCCCUUCAAAGAAGCCGUCUAAUUAAGAGACGUCGCCAUGCUCAAAGGGGGUGAGACGACACCUGGCAAUGCCAGAAGACCGCCAAUUUUGGAGUUGGCCAUACCUUAAGGGGUGUAAUUAACAAUUAGAACGCAUGAUUGUUGAGUUUGAUGCACCUGAUUAUGAGAUCAAAAUUAUGUGGCAUGGAACAAGUUCUUUGUGAUUAAUUGAAUUGAUGAGGUGUUCCAGUUGUUAUAUGCAUUACGAUAUGAACUGUACUGACGUGCAGGAAGGAAACUGAGGCAAGGAAAGUCCUCUGUGUUAAGUGAGUGGUUGUGUGGUUAGGACACUUCCAAGUGUAUUUCCCUUCUAAUCGGAGUUUAGACCGUAAGCUCGCUGAGAUUUAUAACUCACCCCGUCUCGGGCUUAAAAUUUUCAGGGCCAUAGAAAGAGGACCUGGAGCUAAGCUGAGGUGACCUAAAGAGUGGGUCAGAUAGGACAACCUCUUUUUGAGAACUGGUCUUUUGGUUAUAGACUUGUGUAAAUGACUCAGUAUGUUUAUAAAAGUGUGGUUUGGUUGUGAAUGUGAUAUCCUGCUUUUCUAUUCCGAAAUGAUUACUGUCAGGGAAUUUAUUUUUGCUUCUGCAUGUGUAAUAAAAUGAAAGGGUCGGCGACUCAUCCUGGAAAGUCGCAUAAUUUUUAUUGACCAGAAGGAGAUGGACACGCGCUCGAGGAUUGGGGCGU
rnacentral:lncRNA from 1 species